rnacentral:rRNA from 1 species
GACGAACGCUGGCGGCGUGCCUAAUACAUGCAAGUCGGACGCUCCUGUCCCACCGGGUGCUUGCACCCACCGGGGCAGGGGAGUGGCGGACGGGUGAGUAACACGUGGGCAACCUGCCCUUCAGCGGGGGACAACACUUGGAAACAGGUGCUAAUACCGCAUAAACGGCUUUUCCGCAUGGGAAGGCCUUGAAAGACACUUUCGGGUGUCACUGAAGGAUGGGCCCGCGGUGCAUUAGCUGGUUGGUGAGGUAACGGCCCACCAAGGCGACGAUGCAUAGCCGACCUGAGAGGGUGAUCGGCCACAUUGGGACUGAGACACGGCCCAAACUCCUACGGGAGGCAGCAGUAGGGAAUCUUCGGCAAUGGACGGAAGUCUGACCGAGCAACGCCGCGUGAGUGAAGAAGGUUUUCGGAUCGUAAAACUCUGUUGUCAGAGAAGAACAGGGGGCAGAGGAAAUGCUGUCCCUGUGACGGUAUCUGACCAGAAAGCCACGGCUAACUACGUGCCAGCCGCCGCCGUAACAC